rnacentral:rRNA from 1 species
AUUGAACGCUGGCGGCAUGCCUUACACAUGCAAGUCGAACGGCAGCACGGGAGCAAUCCUGGUGGCGAGUGGCGAACGGGUGAGUAAAGUAUCGGAACGUGCCCAGUCGUGGGGGAUAACGUAGCGAAAGGUACGCUAAUACCGCAUACGAUCUAUGGAUGAAAGCGGGGGAUCGCAAGACCUCGCGCGAUUGGAGCGGCAGAUAUCAGAUUAGGGAGUUGGUGGGGUAAAGGCGCACCAAGCCGACGAUCUGUAGCUGGUAUGAGAGGACGACCAGCCACACUGGGACUGAGACACGGCCCAGACUCCUACGGGAGGCUGCAGUGGGGAAUUUUGGACAAAGGGCGAAAGCCUGAUCCAGCCAUGCCGCGUGCAGGAUGAAGGCCUUCGGGUUGUAAACUGCUUUUGUACGGAACGAAAAGGUUUGGGCUAAUAAGCUGAGCUCAUGACGGUACCGUAAGAAUAAGCACCGGCUAACUACGUGCCAGCCGCCGCAGUAA